rnacentral:rRNA from 1 species
CUACGGGACGCAGCAGUUAGGUAUAUUCUGCAAUACACGAAAGUGUGACAGAGUGAGCCAGAGUGUUUCUCACAGAGAAACUUUUGUUGAAUGUAAAAAGUUCGACGAAUAAGGACUGGGUAAGACGAGUGCCAGCCGCCGCGGUAAUACUCGCGGUCCAAGUCGCAGCCAUAAUUAUUGGGUCUAAAACAUCCGUAGCUUGCUAUGUAAGUCCCUUGUGAAAUCCGGCUUCUUAAGAGUCGGGCGCGCGGGGGGUACUGCAUGGCUAGAGAUUGGGAGACGUAAGCAGUACGUUCAAAGUAGUGGUAAAAUACGUUAAUCUUGGACGGACUCACAAUAGCGAAGGCAGCUUACGAGAACGGUUCUGACAGUGAGGGAUGAAGGCCAGGGGCGCAAAACGGAUUAGAUACCCCGGUAGUC